UACGUAGGUGACCAGCGUUGUCCGGAUUUACUGGGCGUAAAGAGCGCGCAGGCGGUCGUUCAAGUCGAGUGUGAAAGCCCCCGGCUCAACUGGGGAGGGUCACUCGAUACUGAUCGACUGGAAGGCAGGAGAGGGAAGCGGAAUUCCCGGUGUAGUGGUGAAAUGCGUAGAUAUCGGGAGGAACACCAGUGGCGAAGGCGGCUUCCUGGCCUGUUCUUGACGCUGAGGCGCGAAAGCUAGGGGAGCAGACGGG
rnacentral:rRNA from 1 species